rnacentral:rRNA from 1 species
UUUGACCUCAGAUUAGACGUGAAAACCCGCCGAAUUUAAGCAUAUAACUAGGCGGAGGAAAAGAAAUUAACGAAGAUUUCCUUA